rnacentral:rRNA from 1 species
UCUUCCCUCUGGCGGCGUGCCUAAUACAUGCAAGUCGAGCGAACGGACGAGAAGCUUGCUUCUCUGAUGUUAGCGGCGGACGGGAGAGUAACACGUGGAUAACCUACCUAUAAGACUGGGAUAACUUCGGGAAACCGGCGCUAAUACCGGAUGAUAUUUUGAACCGCAUGGUUCAAAAGUGAAAGACGGUCUUGCUGUCACUUAUAGAUGGAUCCGCGCUGCAUUAGCUAGUUGGUAAGGUAACGGCUUACCAAGGCAACGAUGCAUAGCCGACCUGAGAGGGUGAUCGCCCACACUGGAGCUGAGACACGGUCCAGGGUCCUACGGGAGGCAGCAGUAGGGAAUCUUCCGCAGUAGGCGAAAGCCUGACGUAGCAACGCCACGUGAGUGAUGAAAGUCUUGGGAUCGUAAAACUCUGUUACUAGGGAAGAACAUAUGUGUAAGUAACUGUGCACAUCUUGACGGUAACUGAUCAGAAAGCCACGGCUAACUACGUG